ACGACCUUACUUGAACAGGAUCUGUUCUAUAGGCUCGUACCACUGUGUUCUUGAGCUCUAAGGAGACAGGAAAUUAAGUUUGGUGGAUGAAUUGUGGCCGUGAGACUAGAGCGUGAUUAAUAGGCAGCAUUGCCCGCUGGGUGAUGGUUGAUAGUAAAGGAUCGUUCUCAGCCUAGUUUGCCGAGCUUGAGAUGGUCUCGUGGCUGUGACAGACU